GGAAUGAAAAUGUUCCAUGGAUAUGAAAGCUUCAGUGAAGGUUCUGUCAGGAAGACUCUAAUGCCAUGCCAUUCAUUCAUACUAACAGGUCUGGCCAAUCACUGCUUGGCAGCUGGAGUAUAUAAGCACUGAAUUCUGUGUUUCAUUUUUCGCUAUUGAUGACGAUGAUGUUCUCCAUUCUCCCCCAAAUAUGUUCACAGACUGGCAAAUUUCAAGAUGUAGGCCAUUUUAAAGCCAUCCUGAAAUGGAAGUUGUGAUUGUCGUCCAUAUUGUGACAUACCAAAGUGAAACGGCUUUCUGAACACGAUUUUUAUUUUAUUUUUUCCAUUGAUUUGUCCGUUUAAUUUUGUUGACUUUGUGAAUUCGCUGGAUCAGUGGAUCAUUGUCGUUUUUAAUUGCUGUGAGGGGAGAGGUCUCAAUGGAAGAAUAUUUUAGAAGAAAGACUGCAGUAUUCCAUAACAAAAUAAGAAUUUUCAUAUCAUGGUGACUUUAAUAUUUGUGAUAUCACCCAGCAUUAACUUUGUAUGAACAUGUACAGAUGUGAAUGAAUUUGUUUAUAAAGCCAAUGACCUUGUAUCUUAAUCAG